rnacentral:piRNA from 2 species
CCGUUCCAUUUUAUUUCUGAGGU